rfam:Triticum aestivum genome assembly, contig: Triticum_aestivum_CS42_TGACv1_scaffold_061829_1DL
AACGUACUCCCUUCAUCCCAAAAUUCUUGUCUUAAAUUUGUCUAAAUACGAAUGUAUCAAAUCACGUUUUAGUAUUAGAUACAUCGGUAUUUAUGACAAAUCUAAGACAAAAAUUUUAGAACGGAGGGAGUACAAA